GGAGCGGUGGAGGAAAAGAGAAAUCUCCUUCUCGUUCUCCCUGCCAGGCUCCCGCUAAUGACUGCGUGUUGAUCCUGCGCGGCGGUGCCCUCGUUUGCCUUUGUUUAGAAGGGCCCAGCUAGACGUUACACUGCAGACGCCAGGACUCCCCCCCCCCCCGAAGAGGGAAGGCGAUUGUUGAAGGAUGGAGUUUUAGCUAAGGAGCAACUCCAUGGAGGGGAAAGGCUACGUGACCCUUUCCUCCUGGUCAUUCCUUCCCUCCCACUCUGCGUUGGCACCCGCAGGUGAAACAAGUGCUGGCGGAGGAGGGGUCGUGCGCCUGGAGCAGAAAACGACCGGAGGGGAAAGGGCUAAGUGUUCCCCGAUGCCAUGCUUCCUUGGAAGGAAGGGAAGAAGGAAAUGUCAGGAGACCUUAACACGCGUCUGCUUGUAGCUUUUCAUCUAGUCCUUCACAAGUGACGCGAAGAGCAUCCAAGAUGCUAAGCCCUAGAAGAGACGGAGUUUAGAGCAAGGAGGAAAUAAAUACUUCUUUCUUUUGCAGGAA